rnacentral:rRNA from 1 species
UACGUAGGGUGCGAGCGUUGUCCGGAAUUAUUGGGCGUAAAGAGCUCGUAGGCGGUCUGUCGCGUCGGUCGUGAAAACCUGCAGCUUAACUGUGGGCUUGCGGUCGAUACGGGCAUCACUGGAGUUCGGCAGGGGAGACUGGAAUUCCUGGUGUAGCGGUGAAAUGCGCAGAUAUCAGGAGGAACACCGGUGGCGAAGGCGGGUCUCUGGGCCGAUACUGACGCUGAGGAGCGAAAGCGUGGGGAGCGAACAGG